AAAGCUCUUUCGCCAGGGAUGAUAAUGACAGUACCUGGUAAAGAAACCCCGGCUAACUCCGUGCCAGCAGCCGCGGUAAUACGGAGGGGGUUAGCGUUGUUCGGAAUUACUGGGCGUAAAGCGCACGUAGGCGGACUUGAAAGUUGGGGGUGAAAUCCCGGGGCUCAACCUCGGAACUGCCUUCAAAACUCCAAGUCUAGAGUUCGAGAGAGGUGAGUGGAAUUCCGAGUGUAGAGGUGAAAUUCGUAGAUAUUCGGAGGAACACCAGUGGCGAAGGCGGCUCACUGGCUCGAUACUGACGCUGAGGUGCGAAAGUGUGGGGAGCAAACAGGAUUAGAUACCCUGGUAGUCCACACCGUAAACGAUGAAUGCCAGUCGUCGGGUAGCAUGCUGCUCGGUGACACACCUAACGGAUUAAGCAUUCCGCCUGGGG
rnacentral:rRNA from 1 species